rnacentral:rRNA from 1 species
UACAGAGGUGGCAAGCGUUGUUCGGAAUUACUGGGCGUAAAGCGUGCGCAGGCGGCGCCGCAAGUCAGGCGUGAAAUCCCCGAGCUUAACUUGGGAAUGGCGCUUGAAACUACGGUGCUGGAGUGUGGCAGAGGGAGGUGGAAUUCCACGUGUAGCGGUGAAAUGCGUAGAGAUGUGGAGGAACACCGAUGGCGAAGGCAGCCUCCUGGGCCAACACUGACGCUCAUGCACGAAAGCGUGGGGAGCAAACAGG